rnacentral:piRNA from 1 species
UGAAGCCGAAUUCCUAGUGUCCAUCUGGAU